CGCGUAGGCGGUAAUGUAAGUCAGACGUGAAAUCCUUCGGCUCAACUGAAGAACUGCGUCUGAAACUGCAUGACUAGAGUGCAGAAGAGGGAAACGGAAUUCCAGGUGUAGAGGUGAAAUUCGUAGAUAUCUGGAGGAACACCGGUGGCGAAGGCGGUUUCCUGGGCUGACACUGACACUGAGGCGCGAAAGCGUGGGUAGCAAACAGGAUUAGAUACCCUGGUAGUCCACGCUGUAAACGGUGAGUGCUGGGUGUGGGAGGUGUAAUGCCUUCUGUGCCGAAGCUAACGCGUUAAGCACUCCGCCUGGGGAGUACGGCCGCAAGGUUGAA
rnacentral:rRNA from 1 species